UGACCUGUUCUUGGCCAGGGGGCAGGGAGACAGACAUGGCACAGGACAGCCUUUUGAAAGGCUGACACAGCCUUUGAAAGGCCCACAGUGACAGCAAGAGCCUAGGUGACCCUGUGAAGGGGUCCCUAUUGAAGAUAUUGUCAUCCCUGGACAGUGCUGGCAUGAUACUGAGGUUUGAAGAAACUCAUCGACUCUUUCUGAUGAGGAAGACUUCCCUGAGGGGAGGACAAAAAAUGGUUCCAGUGGCAAAAGAGGCUGGGAUUUAGAUGGUUUCCAUGCUCAGUUGCAGCUUCCUGGUCCUAGCAGUAUCUUCACAGAUAAGAAAUGCCAUCAACAUCCGGAUCUGAAUGUCCCUGCACUGAGAAGAGAGGUCCCUGCUGUCCCCGCAGCUGAGAAAAGAUGGGCUGUCUAAGCUUCUGAGCAGCAAAAGGGACAAUGGCCAUAAGAGGCAGCCCACUGACAACAGGAAGGAUUUAUAGAAAAUAACACACCUAAUUUAGCAGCUCCAGCUCCAAAGAGCAGAGUUAUUUUGCAUCAAGUAACUGAAGUGAAGAGUUUUGCAAUGUUUUUGCAUGAGGCAGACAGCUCUUUACAGCUCAAAUCCUAGAAGCUUCUUGCUGUUUGAAUAUCAAGGACCAAGUCCUGUUUCUCCUACACAUCUGAGCUCCCGCUGUCUCCAACAGAUGUUUUGGAAUGCAGAAGUGAGCGCGGAGCAGGCUGUGAGUCUCAUACUAAUGCAUUCGUGAUCCUAUCUGGCCUGACUUCCUGAUGCUUGCUCUUGGGCCUUUGAUCUGGACUGGAACCUGUAGUUUUUACUGAAUCGUAGGGCUGGAACAGACCUUGAGAAAUUAGCCUAAUUAAACCUCCUUCACACAAGGCAGGAGCAGCUUCACUGUGUCCCACCUGCCAGCUGUCUAACCUGUUCUCAAAGCAUCUGAGAGAUAAAGGUUCACACCAAACACUGAUCAGCCUUAGCAGCACUGGACAACUAUUCUUAUGUAUCAUUGUCAUUAUCCAGACUGUCAUCUUCCUGUCCUCUCCAGCCAGGAUGUGGAGAACAGAUUAUUUCCUCCCUCUUUGCUGAAGCCUUAAUAUUGAUUUUGUAAUAGGCUACCUUUCAGCUUUCCAACAACAUGCAGGAAGGAGCUCCGUAACAUUCGUCUGUCUUACAAGGCAAAUGGCUACUCUGCAUUUGUAGAAAUCACGUAAUUGAGGGUGUGAUCUUCUACCUGAAAAAAAAAAAAAAAGAUGCAAUCACUCAUAUUGAAGAUUAUAUUGUAUUAUUUAUGAGAAUCCUAAAGGCAAUAGACAAUUUUCAGAUAUAAAAUACUUGAUCCUCCAGGAACUUACCUCACUAAGUUCUUUAGAUGAGAACCUGUCCCUGUGAUCUUGCAGGAGUGGAUUGCUUGGAAAGGGCCCUGAAAUUCUUUGCCAAUUCAGCAUUUGUCAGGAAUGAGAAAGACAGAAUACGUGGUUACUUCAAAUGUUAGGACAGCUGAAGGUUGGAUGGCAAGAGAAUAACAUGUUGACUGCUCUUUUCCUGCUGACCAUCACUUUGCUUCCUGGGGAAACUAGCUCAGUCAGAAAUUACAUUGCCCAGGCCUGGAAGAUUCAGCCACUUGGCUGCUGUAGAAAGUAUGCUGCUAUUUCCAUGAAAAAAAAUCUUAACAAGAGACUUGGAGAUACCAGAGUUAAACAUCCUGCUCUUUGGCCUUCUUGAAGGUCAGGUACCAAGGAACUAAUACAAAUUCUAGGAUUCCUACAGAAAAGGUGAUGCAGGACAGCAGUGGUACAAGCUGUUGUUCUGCGCGUGACCGUGCUAACGUUGUAAACCACAAUAAAACAAGUAAUUUGGUUCUAACUGCUGCAACAGAAGGUCCUCUGUCUCCCAAACAUCAUUUGAUCCAAGAGGGAUCAAACUGACUUAAAAUCAGCUUUCAUCAACACCCUCUCUGUUCCAAAUGAAGAACUUGCAUUGGAACUGUCUAUUCACAAAACUCAUGGGAAGACAGCCAACAAAAUACAGCAUCCAUAUGGAACAUGCUUAUCAGUUAAGAGAUGGCAACUCUGUAUGUGGACAGGAGAAAUGCUGCUGAGACAAUUCAUCUACAGCAGGGUAUUUGCACAAUGCAGUCCUCACUUCUAUACCACUGUAUCUAAUGAUCAGUGGAUGCUAAAAUGUUGCAGGCGAGCAAUAUGUCAUUUUGUACAUACAAAUUAGUAGUCUGAUUGAUUGCCCUCAGACUGAUUUUUGUUCAAAAUUGCUGAAGUCCCAUUACUUGGAUGACAUGGGUCAGAGAAAUUAAAAUCUCACUGAUUAUGAUGUUAUAGAGCAACCUAAGUCUGCAAAACAAUAACCUACAUAUUUGAUAUCAGAGCAAGCUGUGUUUGCAAUUGACACUUUGAAGGCAGCUACCUAAUACUAAUUAGAGCAACCUACGAGGAAAACAGGACACAGUGGUAAGGCAAGAGCAGCUGGACACUCACUGGCUGGAAAGCAUAUCACCUUUGCCUCUGGGGACAAGAGGAUUUCUAAAACUAGCUGACAGCAGGAUUUAGUUCCAAACUCAAGCACUUAAAUUUGGGUUUCUGGCAUGUUGCCAUGUUGUAGUCAACACAGACCAGGUCAAACUAGUCAAUGCAUGGAGUUUGGAGAGCUGAUUCCUGAACUGGAACGUCUUCUGAAUUAUAUGUUCACAAAAUACUGAGUCCUAGAAGCCAAGUAUAUAUAAAUACGUGUUUUUCAAACUUUUCACCCACCUGGCCUCUCAUAUAAAUGACUUCACCCAAUCUUUCUCCCAUGCAUUUCCUAGAGCUUUCUUAGUUCUUUCCAGAUGGCCUCACUCUAGCUUCACAUCAACUAAUGACCAUAUUUUCUUCAUGUAUCUAUUCAAAGCAGUGUAACUGUUCCAAAGCACCUCUGCAUGGACAGACCCAGAAGGCUUUUGAUGACAAACAGCAAUUUGUUGCUCAUUCAUGUUAUACUGACAUGUAAACCCACUGAGGGUGACCAGAGCAAAUGGGAGCUGGCUGUCUUCAUAGAUUUCCUUGAGUGCCUGGUGGGAAACGGAACACGCUCUUGCCAGUGACCUCUGAGACCACAGUAUAAAAAUAACCUAACACAUUUAAAAAGCAACAAGACGGGAAGGAUGCAUUUUAUGUCAAUUCAGUCAAAAAGUCUUCAGAAUUAGUUGCCUGAAGUGGCUGGGAAAGCUGACAGAGUAUAA